UGCGUAGGGAGCAAGCGUUGUCCGGAAUCAUUGGGCGUAAAGCGCGCGUAGGCGGCCCUGUAAGUCCGUUGUGAAAGUCAAAGGCUCAACCUUUGAAAGCCGAUGGAUACUGCAGGGCUAGAGUCCGGAAGAGGCGAGUGGAAUUCCUGGUGUAGCGGUGGAAUGCGCAGAUAUCAGGAGGAACACCAAUAGCGAAGGCAGCUCGCUGGGACGGUACUGACGCUAAGGCGCGAAAGCGUGGGGAGCGAACAGG
rnacentral:rRNA from 1 species